rfam:Ovis aries breed Texel chromosome 1, whole genome shotgun sequence.
UCCCUGGUGAUUCAGAUGGUAAAGAAUCUGCUUGCAAUGCAGGAGACCCAGGUUCAAUCCCUGGGUCAGGGAA